rnacentral:rRNA from 1 species
UAGUGGCGAACGGGUGAGUAACGCGUAGGCAACCUGCCCUCCGGCCGGGGACAACACUCCGAAAGGGGUGCUAAUACCGGAUACGAAGUCUGUGCCGCAUGGUACGGAUUUGAAAGAUGGCCUCUGUUUACAAGCUAGUCGCCGGGGGAUGGGCCUGCGUCCGAUUAGCUGGUUGGUGGGGUAACGGCCUACCAAGGCGACGAUCGGUAGCCGGUCUGAGAGGAUGAACGGCCACAUUGGGACUGAGACACGGCCCAGACUCCUACGGGAGGCAGCAGUGGGGAAUCUUCCGCAAUGGGCGCAAGCCUGACGGAGCAACGCCGCCGUGAGUGAGGAAGUUCUUCGGAACGUAAAGCUCUGUUGUUCCUGACGAACCUCCCCUCUAUGAACAACGGAGGGGACUGGACGGUAGGGAACGAGGAAGCCACGGCUAACUACGUGCCAGCCGCCGC